UAGGGAAUCUUCCACAAUGGACGCAAGUCUGAUGGAGCAACGCCGCGUGAGUGAAGAAGGUCUUCGGAUCGUAAAACUCUGUUGUUAGAGAAGAACACGAGUGAGAGUAACUGUUCAUUCGAUGACGGUAUCUAACCAGCAAGUCACGGCUAACUACGUGCCAGCAGCCGCGGUAAUACGUAGGUGGCAAGCGUUGUCCGGAUUUAUUGGGCGUAAAGGGAACGCAGGCGGUCUUUUAAGUCUGAUGUGAAAGCCUUCGGCUUAACCGGAGUAGUGCAUUGGAAACUGGAAGACUUGAGUGCAGAAGAGGAGAGUGGAACUCCAUGUGUAGCGGUGAAAUGCGUAGAUAUAUGGAAGAACACCAGUGGCGAAAGCGGCUCUCUGGUCUGUAACUGACGCUGAGGUUCGAAAGCGUGGGUAGCAAAC
rnacentral:rRNA from 1 species